ensembl:lncRNA LINC00989 long intergenic non-protein coding RNA 989
CCCCACACCCCAACCCCCUGGACUCUGCCCAGGAAAAUUUGUCGUCUUUGGAAAUUAUUACAAAGUUCAGCUGGAAGUCUCCUUCUCCCUGUGGACCUUCCCCAAUUCCACUGGCUGCCCUCCUCAAGGACCCCUGUUCUCCAGGGCCGAUGUAUGUUUGGAGAUGGAUUUCCCCCUCUCACACUUCAGGCACUCAGUUUUUUGGCAGUCUCAUGGAGUUUUCAGUGGCAAGCCGCUUAUUUCAAAUGGGAUUUGGAAAGGAUUCCGUGAUGGUUAAUAUUGAGUGUCAACUUGAUUGGAUUGAAGGAUGCAAAGUAUUGUUCCUGGGUGUGUCUGUGAGGGUGUCACCAAAGGAGAUGAACAUUUGAAUCAGUGAGCUGGGAGACACAAACCCAUACUCAAUCUUGGGGGACACCAUCUAAUCAGCUGCCAGUGCAACUAGGAUAAAAUCAGGCAGAGAAAUUUGGAAAGACUAGACUGGCUGAGUCUUCUGGCCUUCAUCUUUCUCCCAUGCUAGAUGCUUCCUGACCUCGAAUAUCAGACUCCAAGUUCUUUAGCUUUUGGACUCUUGGACCUUUGGCCACAGACGGAAGGCUGCACUUUUGAAGUUUUGGGACUUGGACUGGCUUCCUUGCUCCUCAGCUUACAGAUGGCCUAUUGUGGGACUUCACCUUGUGAUUGUGUAAGUCAAUACUCCUUAAUAAACUCUGCUUUAUAUAUAUAUCUAUCCUAUUAGUCCUGUCCCUCUAGAGAACCCUGACUAAUACAGAUACACAGAAAGUUCAAUUUUCUAAAUUUUAAGCAUUUUAAAACUUACUUGGGUCUAUUUUUCUCUCAUCAUCUAUGAACAGAGUAAAACAGUAACUAUUAUCAUUCACAUCCCUCCAGCUCAGAUGCUACAUUUGGCAUAAUUUUCACAUUACUAUUUUUCCUUCACACUGUUUUGCUGAUAUAAUCUCAGAUUUCAGAUCCAGGUUAUUAUUAAUUAUUAGCUUAAUAUUUUGUAUUUUUAUCUUGUAAGUACUACAUUUGAAAUUUUAAAGCUAAUCACUCUAUAGAGCUAAGAAUUCUAUUUGCUGAGUUAUUUAUAUUUAUUUCUUAGUUGACUUAAGUGACUAGUCAAAUAGUUUUUUUCACAAAGAAUUUUAUAUGACAUUGCCUCUCAGUCUAGUGUAUCUAAAAACAACUUUCUGUCGCUCUAGCAUAUAAAUAUGAGCUUUUCUAACUAAAAUGCCUUGGAUCUCAAUCUUUUCUGCCCAAAGCUCUGUAAACCUUUGUUUUUCUUAGCAUUUAAUAUUGCAAAUAAAGUCUGAUCUACAGACA